rnacentral:rRNA from 1 species
GACAGAGGGUGCAAACGUUGUUCGGAAUUACUGGGCGUAAAGCGCGUGUAGGCGGCUUUGCAAGUCGGGUGUGAAAUCCCACGGCUCAACCGUGGAAGUGCAUUCGAAACUGCGAGGCUAGAGUCCUGGAGAGGAAGGUGGAAUGCUUGGUGUAGAGGUGAAAUUCGUAGAUAUCAAGCGGAACACCGGUGGCGAAGGCGGCCUUCUGGACAGUGACUGACGCUGAGACGCGAAAGCGUGGGGAGCAAACAGGG